AAAGUCCUGAAUGUGUACAUUCUGCUGACCACAAAAAAAUAUAUAAAGAACUCAAAUAGAAGACUAGGCAGUGGCUGAACACACCAGAAAAUUCUGGUAUACUGAUAUGAUUGCCAAAGAAGAGAAGAAAAAAAGAGGAAAAAUUAAAGAAACAAAGUUCUGAGAAGAGUCAAGGGGAUGGGGCUUCAAAGAAGAUAUGAAAUAUUGGCCUUUUUCCUUUGGUAAAAGGAAAGACAUUUCUAUCAUUAAAAGCAAUGAAAUAAAAGGUGGGCUAAUCUAAGUAAGAUUGCAGGUUUGUUGAGGACAAGAUUAAGACAGUGAAAAUAUUAAGUGAGCUUAGAAAAAGGAUAUGGGAAUGAAUGAAUGGACUGUUUCCAAUUGAUAUUACAAAAGUGUUACAGCUAUUGAUAAAGAAUCAAUGAAAAAAUAUGAAUAACAGGAUGGUCAGGCAAAAAUGAGAGUUUAACUGAGUUUGAAGAUAAGCACAGGUCAAUAGUACCUAGGCUCAUUCAUCAUUGUUUUGUGACAUCCUCCAGAAAGCCCAUAAUAAUAAGAUAAAACAAAUUUCCAUAACUGGAAUUAUAAAAGACUAUUAGAUUGACAAAAUAAUAGUAAAGUUUAUAUUGAAUGACUGGUUGUAAAACAAUGACUUGAAAAAGAGAGAGGUGAUGCCAGAUUUAGGAGAUGGAGAGGAAUAUGGUAGGACUUGGACAACUAAAGAUCUCCAUUUUGGUAGAGAUAAAGAUAUGACUCAGUAGAAAUUUACAUAAAACAUUAGGAGGCACAGUCAAAGAGUGAGAUUUCAGAGUAGGUUAUCCAAAGAAAGUUUUCAACUGAUAAUUAAAUCUAUACUAUUAGUGCUUAUGUGAGUGACUCAGCUGGCUAAUAUGAAAGUCAGUGUUUUGAAGAAGUUGAAGAUAAUUAGGGCAGUGUGAGAGGAAUACCAAAAUAGACAAAAAGAAACCACAUAUACUGUAAUUUUUGGCAGUAAAAAGAAUUUUUUCAUGUCACUUUUAGUACUAACUGGGUGACAAAAGUUAAAUAACUCAUUUAUUUUCCUAAACUUUUGAUUAAUUUCCUUAUUGGAGGCUACCACAAAGAAAAUUGACAAUUUUAGAAUUCGAGGUAAAGGUCAAUCAUAUAUUAAAUGUCAGUCCUGAGAAAAGAAAUUAAGUCUUGACAGUAGAAUAUAUUCAAAGAGAACCACCAACUUUGCCCCCUGCUAAUGCGGCUUAGCUAUAGAUGCCCCCUGAAAAUAAUUUUUAGCUACAGUAAUUAUCUAAAAUAAGCAAACAGAAAUAGAUCUUUGCUCCAGGAAAUUUUCAAUGCUGCCCUGAGAUUGAGUAGGAAAAUGUGUGUGUGUGUGUGUGUGUGUGUGUGUGUGAAUGAACAUGAUCAGAUACUUUUGGAAUGACUUUGGAUAUUAGUACGUACACUAUAGGCAAGAAAUUCUGAAUAAUUCAGUGAUAUAAGACAACUUCUGUGUCUUUUAAAAAUUAUAGUCUAAAGAAAGAUGUCAGA
rnacentral:lncRNA from 1 species